rnacentral:tRNA from 1 species
UGGGGUGUAGCUCAGUGGUAGAGCGGCGGUCUCCAAAACCGCGCUGCGGGAGUUCAAUUCUCCUCACCCUGG